GACGAACUGUCCUAACGUUGUUCGGAAUCACUGGCUUAAAGGGCGCGUAGGCGGUCCGACAAGUCAGGGGUGAAAUCCUGGAGCUCAACUCCAGAACUGCCUUUGAUACUGGCGACCUUGAGUCCGGGAGAGGUGAGUGGAACUGCGAGUGUAGAGGUGAAAUUCGUAGAUAUUCGCAAGAACACCAGUGGCGAAGGCGGCUCACUGGCCCGGUACUGACGCUGAGGUGCGAAAGCGUGGGGAGCAAACAGG
rnacentral:rRNA from 1 species